rnacentral:tRNA from 1 species
UGGGAUGUGGCUGGACGGCGAUUUACCCUUAUGGGGUGCAAGGGGUCGAGUGUUCGAAUCACUCCGUCCCGACCA